UUAAUUUUUAAAACAGGGUUUCUCUGAAUAGCUCUGGCUCUCCUGGAACUCACUUUGUAGACCAGGCUGGCCUCAAACUCGGAGAUCCCCCUGCCUCUGCCUCCCAAGUGCUGCGAUUAAAGGUGUGCUCCACCACCUCCCUGCUGUCAUAUCUAUUCUUAAUUCCAGAAACUCCAUAGUGUUCUCUCUAGUGGCUGCACCCCUUCCCAAACCUGCCAAUGCAGUUCAAAGGUCCCACAUCCUUGCUCUCCCCUCCUCUCUUUCCUCUCAGCUUCCCUUUCUUUUUCUGUAUUUUUUCAUGUUUAUAUGUGUGUGGUGUGGCCAAGGAUGUGUGUGCAUGUAGGUCAGAGGUUGGCGCCGAGUAUAUUCCUUGAUUGCUUUAUUUACUCAGGCAGGGAUUCUCACCGAACCUGAAACUUGUUUGGGGAUCCCCUGUCUCUGCCUCCAAGGGCUGUGAUUACAGUGGCCACCAUCCCUGCUGGCCUUUAUGUGGGUUCUGGAAAUCCAAACUCUGGUCCUCACACUUGCAUAGCAAGUCCUUUAUGGGCUGACGGCUCCGAGUCCUCUGCAUUUUUAAUGGUAGCGGUGCCAGUAAGUAUGAAGCAGCAUUUCAUUGUGGUUUUGACUUGAAUUGCCCUAAUGAGAAGUGAUGUUGAACCACGAGGAGAGGAGAGCCUCUGUCUGUCUCUGUUCCUCUCUCUCCCCCCCUCUCCCUCCCUCUCUUUCUCUCUGUUUUUCUUGUGUGUGCACAUGUGUGUGCAUGCAUGUGGAAACCAGAGGUACGGACUGAGCGUUGUCCUCCAUCACUCUACACCUUUUUUCUCUGAGACAGCGUCUCUCACUGAACCUCAAGCUUGCUGAUUUGUCUUGACUGAUGGGCUAGAGAGCCCAGGGGAAUCGAUCCUCCUGUCUCGCCUCCUGGUUCCGGGAUUACAGAUGCACACUGCCAUGCCACCACAACCCUGCACCCACUUAAAAACAAACCGACAGGGUUUCAUGAUGUUGCUGCCACUGGCCUGAAAUUCAUUUGGUGUAUCAGGUUUGCCUCUGCCUCUCAAGAGACCCAGCUGCCUCCUGAGUGCUCAGACUAAGGUGUGGGAAGACCCAGAGGCAAACCUGCCAUGCCGAGUAACCAGUCGGAGAACAGUGAGGAGCUGUGAGGAUGGCCGGAAGGAGUCGAGUGGCCAGAACUCAGAGGGGUCCUACAGAGCGAAGGUCGUCUGGUGAUUCAGAGGAGCAGAGGGUCCUCGAUGUCACCUGUGCUGCAGAGUCCCCUGAGAAGGUGGAGUCUGGAAACUUCGGCCCCAUCCACUCACUCAGUGUACCUGGCCUCGGUGACACUGUUGACAGUCAGAGUAGUAUACACGUGGAAAAUGCUCUGAAACUGGGCAUGGUGGGGCACAUGCCUUUAAUCCCAGCACUCCAGAGGCAGAGGCAGGUGGAUCUGUGAGUUCAAGGUUAGCCUGGUCUACAGAGUUGAGAUCCAGGACAGCCAGGGCUACACAGAGAAACCCUGUCUCGAAAAAACAAAAAACAACAACAACAAAAAAGAUGUGUGCCGCCACACCUAGAUGUGCCCAGCAGUCUUGAGGAGAUAGAUGAACGAGGUGGGGUCGUGGAGCAUGUAAAGGGGGAUCGUCACCUCUGCCACAGUGGCCAGCAAAGCUGCAGGCAAGUUCAGUCCAGAACGUCUGCUCAGCGCCACGUCAUUCCCUACCCGAGAGCCUUCUUUGCUGUGUCUUUCACACGGGUGUUGUCCUAACUGUACCUCAGGGAACAGCCCUUCGGCAUCGUAGAGGAGCCUCCAUCGGUAGGAGCUGCUCUCCCAAGAGUCCAGCAGCGUGGUGAAAGAGGAAGUCGGGACAUUUUUGUUGAGACUGCCGGUGGACAGUGCCGUGCAGGGAGAGCGGAGGAUUUGCUAGGCAUCCCUCUCCUGCCAUCUGCUGGAUGGAUAAGAGGAUUAUGAACAGAUCCAGCGGGCCGGAUGCCCAGGAGAAAGGAGUGUUUUCAGGGGAGGAAAGAGGAAGGCAGUAAAUGCAGCACCACUCUGUGCUGAGGCCUAAUCCUGGGCCACGUGCUCCUGGUCGCUUCAGCUACCUCAUCAGCAUUACCCAGGAAUCUGUGAGUUUGGGCAUCUGCAAGAACUACGUCACCACUCUCCACUCUGUUACCAGCUGCAAAUGCCAUCAGAGGCUGGCCUUCGGAAAUGUGAAAGUCCAGAAUUCACAGGCAUUCACUGGACGCACCGGGGCAAAGCAUUUAAAUGGAAAAUUCUAGAAGUAAGCAGUGUUUAGUUAUGCCUCAUCCUGGAUAUUAUGAUGAAUUUGAAUUUGGCUCUGUCCUGCUCUCUCCCACCCAGGACACGAACUAUCCUUUGUCCAGUGUAUCUGUGUGAGCAUGUGCUAAUAGCCAUCCCCAUGGUCAGAGUGACUGCCGUGGUCCCACAUGCUUGUGUUCCAGCUGCCUGUAUUUCCCUCAACAGUGUUCCCUCAACACUAGGGAUGCUGGCUAUGUUGUUAUAGUCCAUCUGUCUCAUUGUUGGUAGUCUCUUUCUGGGUCUUAAUUUGUAAACUAAACCGUGUGCUAAGUGCGUGUAGAAAAAAGCACAGUGUAGCCAGGGUUUGCUGUUAUCGUCUGUUUUGAACACUCUCUGUGGGUCUUGGAAGGUAGCCCCACAGAUGAGGGGGACAGCCGCGCUCGUGAAGAAUGGGUUCUUGCUGACUUGUGACACCACCGAGGAGGUGGCUGCGAAGCCUCGCUCUGGAAAUGCGUCCUCUGUCCAGUGGAGAUCGAGAGGGAAGAUGUGUCUGGAAUCAUGGUUUCAGAGGUGUCAGCCCGUGCUCAGUCACUCUGUUCUUCUGGGCCUGCGGUGAAUGUUGCAGGAACUUUCCCUGGUGAGAUAUAAACAAACGCUUUUCUUACUCCAGACAAGGCACCAAUGACCAACCAGAGGGAUGGCUCUAUCCAGGCCUUCCUCGGUGAAUCAAUGAGCUUGUUUGGCCUAUAGAGUCAUGGGCGAGACGUUAGUAACAGGAGUGUGGGUGACUCCCAACAGCGAUAUUACUGAAACAUCUCAUCCUGGCAUGGAUAAUGACUUCCUCAGAGCCGCACAGACAGGGACUUCCCAAGACUAGUCCAGCUACAAGCGGUACAGAAGGGAGUGGCUGCAACCUCAGAUGGGUGUCCAGUGACCCGCCUCCUCCUCAUCUGGUUUUACGAGGGAAGGGAACAGGCCUGUUCCUGAGGACCUCCUGUGAGCAGCCACAGCUGCUCCAGUGGAGACAGUAGUAACUGUUACGGUCAGAGGAAAGCGUCCCGUAGCAGGACAGAGUAUCUUGGCAGAGCAUCCCAUAGCAGGACAGAGCAAAGCUUCUCACCUCCCAGAAGCCAGCAAAAAGAAAAUCGGGGAAGGGCUGGCCUCCCAAUGUCCCCUUCAAGGACAGGCCUCAAGGGACCUAAUUUCCUCUCACUUGGCUCUACCUUUUAAAGGCCCCACCAUUUCCUAAUAACACCACAUACUGGUACCAACACAUGAGCCUUUGGGGACACUUCAGAUCUGAACUAUAGAACCUGCUGAAACCCUACCAUCAAACGGUAACUCCUUGCUCUUCUCCUUCCCUAGCCUCUGGUAAUUAUUUUUAUUUCUGUUUCUGUAAUUUGACUCCUCAGUGUACCUCAUUCAUCCUUUUGUGACUAGCUUAUUUCAGUUAGCACAAUGUCAUUAAAGUUCAUGGAUCAGAAUUGUGGUGAUAUUUGUAAUCUAAGACAUAAAGCUUGCCUGAAGAUCAGAGGACAGAGCCAGCCACAGAGUUAACAUAGAGGACAAGCUGUGGGGGCAGCAGUGGGGGCACACACCUUUAAUCCCAGCACUCAGGAGGCAGAGAUCCAUUUGGAUCUCUGUGAGUCCAAAGCCACACUGGGCUACAUGAGAUUGAUCCAGGCUAGGAGAGAGACGGAGCCAGGCAGUGGUGGUGCACACCUUUAACCCCAGUAUUUGGGAAGCACAGAUGCCUUUAAUCCCAGCACUAGGAAGGUUGAGAUAGGAAGUGAAAUGGCUGGGUGGAGAAAGGCAUAUAAGGUGUGAGCCAGGAACUAGGGCUUUUUGGCUGAGGACUCAGAGGUAUUCAGUCUGAGGAUUCAUGGGGACAGGAUUGGCUGAGGAGUUGGUGAGGUGAGAACUGGCUGUGGCUUGUUCCUUUGUUUCCUCUGAUCUUUCAGCGUUUGCCCCAAUAUCUGGUUCUGGGUCAUAUUAGAUAUCAUAUCAUAUCAGGGUCAUAUUAGAUGGUGUGUUAGUAUUUUUAUUACCAUGACAAAUAACUUACAGAAACAUUUUAAAACAGGAGAGAUUUAUUUUGGAUCAUUUCCAGAGGUUUUAAUCCAUAGUCUGCUGGCUCCAGUAGUUUCCACCAUCGUUCAAUACUGUCAUUAAUUUCUAAGUCAGUGGGUUAGAUGUCCAACCUUUUAAUAUUGGGCUAUAUUCCUAGCUAUCCUGGGAUGCAGCCUGAGAACCACAGGUUGACACUCUGGGUUCAUCCAUGGAUAAAAUCGGAGGCUUCAUGAUAUAAUUGCCUCCCCAGAGCCCAUCAGCUGAUAGCCACACCUUUAAUACAUUCGUUUUUUUGGAAGGCAUUUCACAUCCAAAUCACCACAUGCAAUAAGUUUAUAUUUCAUCUGUUUAGGACUUACGUACUGUUCCAGAUGACCACUUUACAUAUGCCAUUUCAUGUAAUACUCAUGGAACUUCUGAGAGGAAGGACCAUUGUUCUGUUCUGUUCUUUUCUUCUUUCUUUCUUUCUUUCUUCUUCUUCUUCUUCUUCUUCUUCUUCUUCUUCUUCUUCUUCUUCUUCUUCUUCUUCUUCUUCUUCUUCUUCUUCUUCUUCUUCUUUUGGUUUGGUUUGGGUUUUCAAGACUGGGUUUCUCUUGUGGAACACUCCUCGCUGUCCUGGAACUCACUUUAUAGACCAGGCUGGCCUCGAACCCACAGAGAUCUGCCUGCCCCUGCCUCCGAGUGCUGGGAUUAAAGGCAUGCGCCAUGACCGCCCGGCUCGUUGUUUAUGUCUUAAUAUAUGAGGAAAUAUGAAUCAGAGGGAGUUAGCUUGCCCGUGGCCAGAGGGCCAAACAGUGAGAGAGCAGGAGCAAAAGCAAACAUCGCAAGUUCACAUCACAAGGUGCCUGUAGUGGCUUGGGAGUCACCGGAGUGUGUGUGUGUGUGUGUGUGUGUGUGUGUGUGUGUGUGUGUGUGUGUGUGUGAAGGAGCUGGGACUGCCAGUUGCUGGUGAGUGAGAAAAUGGUGCAGCUACUGUGGAAAAUGGGCUGCAGCCCCUCAGUUAAGGGUAGAGUUGCCAUCUGCCCCAGCAAUUCCAUUCCUAGGCAUUUACACCCCUCCCCAAAUAAAAACAAAAAGUCUAAAACCCAACAAAACAAAUUGACCGUGAACUUUCAUAACAGUGCAAGUCACAAUGGUCAAAGGGCAGAAGCGGCCCAGAAGCUCCACGAUGGAUGGACAGAGUGUGGCACAUCCGCAUGGUGGCUGUCACUCAGCAAUAAAAAGGAAGGAGGAGCCAGUGUGUGUUGCAAUGUGGGUGAACCCCCAAAACGACAAUUCAAAGAAGCUGCCACAAGAGGCCUUUCUGUGCUAUUCCGUUCACAUGAAGUAACCAGAAGAGCUGAACCCACAGACAGAGGCAGAUCAAUGGCCGGCAGGAGCUGGAGAAUGGAGUUCUGGGGACUGAGUAGUGUGAUGAGGGCUCUUAUGGGGAAUGACAGUGUGGAACUAGAUGGUGGGGAGGGUUGUCAACAGCGUGAAUGUUCUAGAACCUCUGCAUGGCAUUCUUAAGAUGAAGACACACACACACACACACACACACACACACACACACACACACACACACACAAAUUGUUGAAUAUUUUUGGUUGUUUUGUGUUUAAGACAGGGUCUCAUUCUGCCCAUCAGGCUGGCCUAGAACUUACAGUAACCCUCUGCCUCAGCCUCCCAAGCGCUGCGGUUACAGAUAUGAGCCACCAACCAGCUUCUUUUUUCUUUUUUCUUUUUGCAUAUGAAAUAAUGAGUUUCAGUAUGAAUCAUUACAGGCUUCUGGCAGGAGUGUCACCUGAAAAAUGUUAUCAGAAGCAGCUCCACAGAAUGACUUAAACUGGGUGAGCCAUUUCUUUAUUCUGUUUGAAUGAUUUUUGAAUAUAAUUUUGAUUAGAGUAUUUCACACAUUCCAAAACCCGCAGAAAAUACAACACCUACAUGCCUGUCGAACAUAUCAGCAGAGGUUAACAUUUUGUCAUAUUUACUUCUGAUUUCUCUACUUAAACAGUCAAGUAUUACAAAUACAGGCUUAGACACACACACACACACACACACACACACACACACACACACACACACACACA